AAUUUAUCUUUGACUGUCAUCUCAUUCAAUUGUCUAUAAUCCACGCAAAAACGCCAAGUUCCAUCUUUCUUCUUAACUAACAGGACUGGAGAAGCGAAAGGACUGUGACUACAUUGAAUCACUCCAGUGUUGAGCAUUUCUUUUACCUGUUUUUCUAUUUCCGUUUUCUGAAAAUAGUUGUGGUGAUAAGGUCUGAUGUUAACAGGUUUUGUGUUGGGCAGGAGAUUAAUAGCAUGGUCAUGUGAUCUUUCCGGAGGCAGAGCCGUAGGUGUUGCGAAAAUGGUCUCAUAUUGCUGCAAUAAUGCCUGAACUGGUUCUGCUAUUCCGGUGUUCAACUGAUUUUCCACCGUGGGUUCUGUAAUUUUGAUGGAGAAUAGCUGAGCAGGUAGUAACGCUCCCCCUUCUUUGAUAAGCCUUGUCAUCUUCUUCCCACUCACACAAUGCAGCUCUCCUUGGUCUUGGAUGCCCUGUAGUUUAACCUCAUUCCCAUCUCUGUUGAAAGUAAGAGUCAUGCCCACAAAAUCAAAAAGCAAAGGAUUAUACAUGAUCAUCCAAUCCACUCCUAAUACAAUAUCAUACCCAACCACUGUAAGAACCCGUAAAUCAAAGGCGUACUCCUGUCCCUGCAUAUUCCAUUUCAUUCCCUGACAUACUGUUUGGCUGAGUAUUUGUUCUCCAUUAGCUACUGUGACCGAAAGAGUAGCUGUCGUGACAAUAGCUGCCUGCACUCUCGCAGCUAUCCCAGCAUUCAUGAAACUAUGGGUGCUGCCCGUGUCUAACAAGAUUACCACAGGAACUCCAUGAAUGUUUCCCUUGAUCCUCAGCGUAUUGGGCGAUUUCUGACCUGUUACCGCUGCGAGUGACAGUUCUCCUUUGAGAUUUUCUCCUUCGGUUUCCUCACAGGAUUGUGGGUUUUGGCGAUGGAAAACUGAUAGGAUAGCUUGACUUCCCCGUAGUAAUCUUACCCGGAAUCAGUUUAUGCCUCCUAAGGACAGCUUCAAACGAUUGCUCCUGAUAUUUUGCUUGAGUGAAAGCCUGAUUCAAGGUGAUUGGUCUGUGUACCAUUAACAUAGCUCUGAGUUCCUCACUCAACCCACUUAUAAAGCUCGAAAUAAAGUAUGAUUCCGAUAGCCCAGGAUUGAAUUUCUGCAUUAUUGCCUUCAGUUGCUCAAACCUUUCUUGAUAACAUACCACAGAUUCAGCGCCCUGCUGCAGUUUGUUAAACUCAGCCACGAUUUCCAUGCUUGAUUUCUCUCCAAACCUUUCACACAAAUCUUUGGAAAACUGAGACCAUGAGGAAUUGGUUUGAUCGCUGACCCAUCCUUGAAGCCAAUUGUCAGCUAUAUCACCAAAUCGCAUCGUCGCAAUCUCAAUCUGUUCUUCUUCUGCAAUACUAUAAAACCGAAAGUAUUUUUCACAUUUCCGAAUAAAGUUCCUUGGGUUCUCACCAUUAAAAUCUGAGAUUUCCACCUUGGGCAUUUUUGCUCCCUUAGAGGAGUAGCUACCCUUUGUAGAGGUCGGGCUGUAUCCUCCUUUGUCGGUUGUUUUGGGUGUAGGUAAAAUUCCUUUACCUGUAUUGGAUUGAAUCUCAGAUCCUGAAGCUAUUGUGUUAACGGUAACAGCAGCAGGUGAGUCUCUAUUUUGCGAGAUUUGAUCCAUCAAUAACGUGAACUUGGAUUCAAGAUCUUCCAUCCGUUUGGUUGAUCGUUGCUGAUUCUCCACUACUUGCUUCAUGAUUGUAGACUGUUCAGCGAGAUUAGCAGAUAAUUGUUGAAAUUGGGUUUCUAAUUCCUUGAUUGUCAUUGUAAUAGUCCCGGAUCGAUUGCUUAAUGGUAGAAAUUAAGCAACUAA